AUUGAACGCUGGCGGCAUGCUUUACACAUGCAAGUCGAACGGCAGCGCGGGCUUCGGCCUGGCGGCGAGUGGCGAACGGGUGAGUAAUACAUCGGAACGUGCCCAGUAGUGGGGGAUAGCUCGGCGAUAGCCGGAUUAAUACCGCAUACGACCUGAGGGUGAAAGCGGGGGAUCUUCGGACCUCGCGCUAUUGGACCGGCCGAUGGCAGAUUAGCUAGUUGGUGGGGUAAAGGCCUACCAAGGCGACGAUCUGUAGCUGGUCUGAGAGGACGACCAGCCACACUGGGACUGAGACACGGCCCAGACUCCUACGGGAGGCAGCAGUGGGGAAUUUUGGACAAUGGGCGAAAGCCUGAUCCAGCAAUGCCGCGUGUGUGAUGAAGGCCUUCGGGUUGUAAAGCACUUUUGGCGGGAACGAAAAGGACUGUGCUAAUACCACGGUUCGAUGACGGUACCCGCAGAAUAAGCACCGGCUAACUACGUG
rnacentral:rRNA from 1 species